GCCAUAAAUCAGCUAACAGCUGUACCUCUCUUUUUAAACAAUUCUAACGAACGAAAGCAUAGAGUUCUUCCUAACCGUUACUUUUGGAAACGCGAGGGUAUUUAGGCGAUUCCUCAUAAAAAGAAAAGUACAGUCGAACGUUGAAGCUUGCACGGUUCGGGUCGAGAGUCGAAGAAGUCAAUCGUGACUUAGAAGUUUCCGCGUAACGCAACGUAUUAUAACCAAUGCAGGGUGGUUCGGAAAUCACUCACAACACCAUUCGAGCGAGACCCUGCACUCCUCGAAUGGGCCACGGUAGGGUGGUUAAAUCAUACACUGUACACUGUUCGGGCGAGUCCUACACCCUCGAACAGGCCACGGUAGGGUAGUUAAACGUACACAUCAACAUUAUUCGAAUGAGUCCUACACCCUCAACCCGAUCAUCGUGAAUAAUCUCACGCAACGUGAAUUAUCACGCAAAUCGAACAACAUUGAGCGAGACCCUGUUCUCAUCAAAUCGAACAACAUUGAGCGAGACCCCGUUCUCCUCAAAUCGAACCAUAAUCAACUCAACAUACACACAACGUAUAUACUCGUACACAUUUUCACCGUAGAAUCUUUAACGAAUACAUAUUUUUGUAAGGAGUUUUUUAUGCUGCAAGGCUUUUUCCCCUAAUUCGAAUCGCUAGAGCCAAUAAACUAUCCAGGUUUUUCAGGCUCAAUUGUGUCUAAACAAUUUUUAUUUACCCUCUUCCACAAUCGAAUUCAUCUAUUCCUUGAAACACAAAAUUUCUCCAUGUUGAAAAGAUUUCGACGAUACAGGGACGUUCGUGAGAAUCGUCGCGAGUAAGGUCACGGUCACCGUCUGUGUAGCGGAGGUCGUCCACGAGGGAGAGUGCAACGGUGGAAGCACUGCUUCAAAUUGUGCAGAAGUUACAGGAGGAGUUAUGUAAUACGCGGUAUAGGCCGGCAGCGCAGGAGUAUUUAGUGCCCCAAUAUGAUCCGGCGGAUGAUAAGACGGACAUUGAAAUAUAGGUCCGUAACGUUGACAGGAUUGCAAGACGUGGGGGUUGGCGUAACGAUGAAACGAUGUGCUAUAUCGCACGCCAAUUGCGAGGACACGCGCGGCAAUUUUUUGAUGAGGAGCAACGCCGAGAUCCCACCUGGGAAAUGUUGAAAACAGCACUCAUCGCUCGUUUCAGAAAACCCCUGCCCUUCAAUCGGCUGUUUCGGGAGGCUGCCAACUAUACAGCGCAGCCAAGACAAAAGCUGGGGGAUUAUUGCUUUAACAAGCUGACCAAGUUGAGAGCGUUCAACGCUCUCAAGGUGGACAUCCCUGACGAAUUUUUAAGGGAUGCAGUGAUCGGGAGCAUCGGAGAUGAAACAAUCGAGAGGACGAUUCGAUCAAACAAAUAUACGAGUGCCGACGAGUUGUAUGUAGCAAUGCGGGAGAUGGGCACGAUGCCGAAGUUGGAAGGAGUUUCGGCAGCAAAGGCGUCGCGGGUUGCGGAUCGGACGCCGAUACCAGUAGCAGGGCCGUCGGGCGUGCGAGCCGCGGACAGGAAGAAGCAGCCGGGUGACCAGCUGAAGCACACGACUAAGUUCGUGUGUUAUAACUGCGGUGAAGAGGAGCACGUUGCGAGAACCUGCUCGAAGCCGCGACGAAGGUGUAUGAGGUGCCAAAAGGACGGGCACUUGGAGCGGUUUUGCUACAGGACGAAGGUAGCGAUAAAUGUGGUACAGUUGAGUCCGAGUAAUAAUAAAUGGGUGAUGCACGCUCGAGUUAAUGGAGAAAGGGUCCAGUGUCUGUUGGACACCGGCAGUGCAAGGACUCUUAUUUCCAAGGCAGUUGCAAUUCGACUGGAUAUCAAGAUAGUCGAGGGACCUUUGAUACAAUUGCGAGGUUAUGCGAGUUUAGGGUCUUGUAAUCGUUUGAGGGCAGAAGUGACGAUACAAGUCGUGGAAGCGAUCGCCGAUGUUACCGCUAUUAUUGUUGAGACAGAGGCGAUGAUCUAUCGGGUAAUCCUAGGGCAAGAUUUCAUUGGGCAGGACCAUGUAAUUUUGAUCAAAAUGCGGGACCGGAUCAUUGUUAAGGAGUUGUCGAGCGUUGGGGUUGCGCCACAAUUAAUAGUAGAUGCGUAUGCGACGGAGACGGUAGUUGAGUUAAGCGCGUUAGAUUGCAGCGGGAUGUCGGAAGAAGAUCGGGUCGGUUGUACAGCCUGUAACAUAAGAGCGUGGACGCAAUAUCUUCGAAUGUUUAUACAAAACAAAAUGACGACCGUUAUAAUGUGAACAUUCAUUGUCUUCCCUAAUACGCAAUUGUCACAAAUCUUCUAGUUUCGUUCGUAUCGCUGAGAAAUAGAGACGUUUGCAAUCUGAGUGCAGCGUAUGCAAAACGGUUUGAAGCGGUCUUUCUCUGUUCGCAUCCGAAAGGACCAAAAAUGAACGUUCGGAGUGCAGCUAAAUAUCUGCAUAAAUCGCGUGAGUUCGUUAAUAAGUGGGUAUAACGGUAUAAAAUCACUAAAUGUGUGGACGAUCUUCCAGAUCGAGGUUCAAAAUGUGCGACUACAGCGAGGAAAGAUAUGGCGAUUUUGCUACUUUUUUCAAAAAAUCCGCAACUUUCGCUUCGUAAAGCCCAAGCUAUUUUGGCAAGAAGAAGCAUAAAUGUAGAUAUAAUGACAUUAAGACGUCGAUUAAAAGAAAAUAAUAUUGCAUGGCGUAGUACGGUGGCGAAACAUCUGCUUUCAAGAAAGCAUGUGGAAAAUCGGUUGGCGUGGGCUCAAUCAAAUAUUGAUCGCAAUUGGAGCGACAUCGUUUUUAGCGAUGAAUGUUCCUUUUGGGCUUGGUCUCCCAUCAAGCAUGCCUGGUCAGUUCGUGGCAAUCCCGUAAUCCAAAGAACUGUAAAACACCCAUUAAAGGUGCAUGUGUGAGGAUGUUUCAAUGCACGUGGUUUCGGGACAUUGUGUGUUUUUACAGGCAAUUUAAACGCACAAAGAAUGACAAAAUUAUACCAGAGAGGACUAUUGCCAUCAACAAAACGGUGGUUUAAUCAAUCUGGUGAUAGAUGACUUCUGCAAGAAGACAACGAUCCAAAACAUCGGAGCCGGGUGUGUACCGAAUGGAAGGCGAAAAACAACAUCAUGGUGCUGCGUUGGCCUUCUCAGUCCCCUGAUGCAAAUCCAAUCGAAAAUGUUUGGGCAAUUAUGAAGCAGAAGCUUCAAGGUAGCCGCAGUGUAACUUUGAAAGCGUUAGUGAACUGAAUUAGAAAAAUAUGGAGGUCGCUGCCUGUUUCGUGUGCAGAAAAAUUAGUCGAAAGCAUGCCGAGACGUUGCGAAGCUAUAAUCGCAAAUGGGAGAGACUGACCCACUACUAAAAAUAUUGCGUCCAUGCUCUUAUGUUACAGACUGUAAUUGAGGAGUAUAGGGAUCGGGUGACGACGUCAAUGCGUUCAUUGGAAAAAACGAG